rnacentral:lncRNA from 1 species
UUUACCAGCCAGAUGCUGAUAGACCUCGACAGAGACGUGGGAUCUUUGAGCCCUGCAGGGCUGUCCCAUCCCCUGAUGGAGCUCUUCCCACCGUGGUUCAGGGCUGCAGCCCUUCCAGGCAGGACACAGGACAGCAAGGUUGUCACCAGGCAGAACUUGCUGCGUGCUGGGGUUCUCCAGUGUGUGUGCACAGGCUGCUGGGGCUGCAGGAAAAGUGAACACAAGAAGCAGAUCAGGAGGUAAGAGAGACAGAAGCCUAAUGGAAAUACUUGUUACAAGUAUAAACUCUUUCAGCCCAGGAGAUGCAGCCUUGAAUUUCAGAAACCAGUGUCUACUGUGCUUCACAGACCAGUGGUAAAUCUUUGACUGAAACCAGCCUGAGGGGAGCCAGCUGGCAGUGUGAAGGUGAUAAUAGACUAAUUACCCUCACCAACCUCUCCUCCAGCCCCCAGCUUUCACCCCACAACCAGAUUUCAUGGUUUGCCCAUGAAAGUUGCUUUGCCUUUAUAUGUCUGAUGGUUGCUGGGAUGAUGCUGGGACACGUUAUUGCCACUUGUGCUGCUUGGCAGAGUGCCUGCCCUGUGCUGCUGAAGUUGCUGUGGCAUGGUGACCUGUGCAUCCUGGUCUGUCCUCAGCAGAGCAGCCCUGUUCUGCCAGCUCCCUGCUGCUGGUCUCCCACCUCCAAGGAUUUUGCAGCAUCAGAUGCAUAGAAGUUUGCAGGUACUAAUGGAAAACUAUACCAUAUGCUACUUUUGUGGUAAUGAACUCGGCCCUGUGGGAGAUCACUGAUCCUAUGCUGGCACCUGAGAACAUGUCAGUUUUGUGUCUGAGAGACACUUUUCAGGACCAGCAUAUUAUGACUGAUGAAGAGGGGAGUGCAGAACCCCCCAUUUCCUGUGGAGCUGGGGACCAGAAUGGGAGCCAGGGAACUGCCAGGCACAGCUCAAGGAAGGAGGCCCCUGCACAGAUGCUUAAGAUGAAAGACCUACGUUUCAAGACAUGAGAUUCUACGUAAUUUAAGGUACUGUGUGCAGUAUGUGAAGAUGUUUUAAACUGGAUUUUGUAGCACCAUCCCUCUAAAUAAUACAGUAGUUUCCAUUUAUGUGUGCAUUAUUAGUAGCAGAAUAUAAAGAGGACACUCCUGAAAGAAACAAAUUGAAGGUUUAGUAA